ACAGCAAAAGUGCUUGAAUAGCAGUUAAUCGAAAUGGCGGCCUUCGUUUUCCACCCAGAAAAUCGGCAUAUCUGACUUUUAAAGGUCAGAUAUGCCGAUUUUGAAGUGCUGCAGAACUGAGCGAUACUCGCGCUGUGUGUUCAGUAGCGAACACUGAAUAUGUGUGCGAAAUAUCUUGGCCCAACUGUCUGAAGGGUUUUAGAAAAAAAAAAUAGUUUCCCCGCCCCCACGUCAGACCGUCGGCACACCCUGCGCGCGGGCGCACCGAUGUCACUGCUCUAGGUUUACCUGUCUUUGGUUUGGCAAGGACUGUUGGCUUGGCCACUUGGCUUCCUUGGUUUCGUUCUCUGUGCAUCGUUCAUUGGCAAACAGAUGUUAUUGCUAAGCAGGAAACAAAGCAUGUCUGAACAUUUAUUUGGCACGACGUCGUUUGGAAAGCGCGUUUCCUUGUGCUGACCUUGCCUUUUAUGAGCUGAAGCGAUAUGAUACGUGAUAUGUCACGGCCAAGUUGUCGAGAAUGCGACGGGUGCUACGCCGUUAGAACAAUUCAUCGGAGCAUUGAAGUGUUACCUACUAUAAGUUGCCAAAAUACCAAGCUCCUGGCUGACAGCGACAGCCGUACGGUCUGGUUUCCACUCCAAAGACGCGCGACUCCAGAGGCAAUUUGGAAUCUCGCCACGAAAUCGUCUGAAAUGAGAUGCCCGUCACACAAAUUUUGAACGUGCCACGGAGGAUCAAGGCAAAAAACGAGAGAAAAAUUAAGUCGAGGUUCAGAUAUAAAAAUAUGAAGCUUAAUGAAUCGAUUUUGCAUCUGUCCUACUACGCUUCCUCUGAUAUAGCCACGAUUAACAACACUGCAGUAUUGAUAAUCUAACUUGUUUAUUACCGCAGGUGCACGCUGAAGGCAGGGUCUGGCUUGCAUCUGGUGAAUGAAGAAAUUGCUGACACGUUCGUUGCAGUCUAGCUGCCACCAACAGGGUGGAAAACAAAGGUCGCAAUUCCGAUUAACUGCUAUCUCCAGUGCAAGCACUUUUGCUGUCCAAACACUGGUUCCUGUGGAUGGGGUGGCACACGCUUCACUGUCUAACAUAGAAGAUGUGUCGCCGUUGACAAAAUGCCCUCGGUUGGCCUGCUGGUGGUCCAUGGACACUCGACGAAGGCGUGGUCGUCGCUCGUGACACAUCGUCUUACAAAGUGACUCCGCCAUUUUUUUAUUUUUUUAUGGUUAUUCGUCCCUGAACAACUGCAGUCCGCCGGUUUGAGGAACGGAAGCGCAAGAGAUUGCUGGUGUCCGGUGCCGGUGCUUGCAAAUCCGACGUCCGCAUUCUCGGAAUUCGCGAAGUUAUGUAACUGGUUCGCUUAUCUGUGAAUCAACACAU